rnacentral:rRNA from 1 species
AGUUGGUGGAGUGAUUUGUCUGGUUAAUUCCGUUAACGAACGAGACCUUGACCUGCUAACUAGUUACAGAGUCAUCCAACUUUGUAUACUUCUUAGAGGGACUAUGGAUUACAAGUCCAUGGAAGUUUGAGGCAAUAACAGGU